rnacentral:rRNA from 1 species
AUUGAACGCUGGCGGCAGGCCUAACACAUGCAAGUCGAACGGUAACAGGAAGCAGCUGCUGCUUCGCUGACGAGUGGCGGACGGGUGAGUAAUGUCUGGGAAACUGCCUGAUGGAGGGGGAUAACUACUGGAAACGGUAGCUAAUACCGCAUAAUGUCGCAAGACCAAAGAGGGGGACCUUCGGGCCUCUUGCCAUCGGAUGUGCCCAGAUGGGAUUAGCUUGUUGGUGGGGUAACGGCUCACCAAGGCGACGAUCCCUAGCUGGUCUGAGAGGAAGGUCCCCCCACAUUGGAACUGAGACACGGUCCAAACUCCUACGGGAGGCAGCAGUGAGGAAUGUUGGUCAAUGGGCGUUUAGCCUGAACCAGCCAAGUAGCGUGAAGGAUG